AUUUUGCUCACCAGUAUUUUGGGGGUGAUUGGUUCAUACCUGGUAACAUCUCUGUGCAAACCUUUUACCUGUGAAACAACAGUAGAGCUACGUUAGUUAUUAGUGGGCUCUUCCAACAAUAAAAAAAUCACCUGUACCCUAAGCAAGUACACACAUAAUCUCAACAUAGAUUUUCAUUUUCUUUACAAAAGAAAGAGCUUAAAGAUUUUUCUAUGUCCUCUGUAUUUUCUAGCUGUGAUUUACAGUGCUAAAUGCAUUUUCACACAUGCUUACGAAUCAAAUUAUAGUAAGAAAUCCUCCUAAUCUGUGACGUAUUUCACUGUUCCAAAGAUUUCAGCAAAACACUCUUAUUUGGCAAGAAACUGGAAAGCACAGAAAUAUAUAUUUUAAGUUCAGUGCUUAACCUUUUCUCUAUUGCCUUGAAGAAUUUACUACCCAUCUGCAGAGCUGCAGCUUCUAAUCACUGUAAUGAACGUGUUUGGCUUUACUAACUGUUAAUGCCAUUUAGUUUUCAUUUUUCUCACUGAAGCAGUAAUAUUUUCUGCUCUCUGAAUGGGAGAGUGUUAUUUUUCCUUCCAGGCCAUGCUACUAAUGUUAUUCAUUUUGCAGAUGCAUACGUUUGAAUUUUCUACGUAGUGAAAAAGGGAGGACUUGACACAAGUGUAAAUGGAGCACAGCACAAGAAAAGAUGCUGCCCAUAGGGAGGUCUCACCACUGUCUGCUUUCCAGGUCAUUUUCCUUUCUUCUAGGAGCUAAAUUAGUGAGGAACAUAUGCAGAUGUUUGUUUGUGAAGCUCACUGGGAUUUAGCACCUUAAGGUAAGAGUAUUAUUAAAUGCCCCGCAGAGUAGAGUGUUCUUUAAGUUAGGCAUUGAUUCAGUGAUCAGCAGUAUCAAAUACCUCAUCCCCAUAGGAGGCUACAGCAGUCACUCAAAGUGAAUCUGAAUGAAGAGGCUGCACUUCAUCCCCAGAAUAAGCUGUUUAAGGCUCUACUCGAUCUAUCUUAUGAUCAGGAAGAAACUGAACCUAUGUGAAAGUAACUGCCAUUCACCAGCUUAUAAUGCUACUAAUAGUAUUGUAAAAAGCUACAAAUAUCCCAGUGACUCGCAAGAAAGUUUUAUUCUCUUUUUUUUUUUCCUCCUCAGGUUAAUAAGGAGAAAAAAACAGAUGUGAAAUUGCAAUAUAGAAAUGUCCAUUCAAUCUAGAUGGUAGUGCAGCUCUUGCAGUGUGGUGGAGCUUUAAGGAAGGUAAUGGCCCAGGAGGCAGUGGAACCACUGGUAUUUCUGGUGCAUUUCCUUCUUUGACCUCUACACACCUAUUGCUGACAUUGUAAGCUGAAGAGCCUUGGAUAUCAUGUGUUGUGCACUGUGUUCUUUUUGCGUGUGGAAUCUGCAUGCAGGCUGAUGGAUGACUGCUUCUUUUCGAAGCAACAAGAUUAGAAAUGGCUGCUCUACUUCUGUCUGAUGUAAGAGCACAGGCCCAGGAUGACUGCUCAGGAUCUUCUUGCAGGAGUGUGACCUCUGUAUGACUUGAGACAAAUUGUGACAGUUCAUGGAUUGCUGCAUUUCCCCUCAUGUAUCAUUCAUGAUGUCAGCUCCCCUUUUAUCCUUCCGCUCUGUUCACUUAGCAUCAUGGCUGUGGGAAGCAAUCUCAACUGAAGUACCACUGAGCACCUUCAGAGAGAUAAUGCCUUUCUUAUUCUUCCAAGAAGAGUCUGAAGUGUCCUUGGGAGUGGCAUCGUUCACAGGUGGAAGUAUUUGUGAAGAUUUUGAAGUCAAGGAUUCAAAGUCAUGUGGAUGGAGCACACCAAGUGCCUGGGGUUUUAUUGCUUCGUGGCUUCGGGAUUGUUCACAGCUCCUCAGUUCUACUUUUAUUGACAGGCUCUUCUUUUCACCUUGCUGUGUUUGAACAGAGUGUACCUUUUUGUUACAUAUCACUGUUUUAACACCAUAUGUUGUAGAACAGCAAUUAGACUCGCUGGAAUGCAUCGACAUCCCUUCCUGAAGUGGUAUCAGUGAUGGUGGCAUCUACACUUAACUUGUUUUCUGGUUUCGACUGAUAUCUUGUGGUCUUGGCUUCUUGACCUGCACUUCUGUCAAUAGGUGGCAACAUGUCUAAGCAGAACAGACACUUGGAAGUUUUGUUUGCCUUAAAGUGCUUGACUUGUUUUUGCAGCUGAAAGCAGGCAAGUGGAUCAGUUCUAUCCCAGCCGUGCACCUGGUCAUAGAGAAACAGUAGAUCUAAGGCAGCCCAGAGCACUGCAAGGAGAAAAAUGUAGAGGAAAUAGUGUUUGCUGAUGUAAAUAAGCUGCCACUUUGUGCUGGAAACAAGCAGUUAGGUUGGAUAUUAGGAAAAAUUCUUCUCCAAAAGAUUGGGAGGUGGUGGGGUCACCAUCCCUGGAGGAGUUCAAGAAGGGUUUAAGUGUGGUACUGAAGGACAUGGCUUAGUGGGAAACAUCAGUGGCAGGUAAAUGGUUGGACUGGGUCAUCUUGGAGGUCUUUUCAACCUCGGCGAUUCUGUGGUUCUGUGAAUCCUUUUCAAAAGAACACAACUAUUUCUAUGAGAAAAAAAAAUACUAUAAACGGAAUGGUCCUUUUCACUUCCAAAGAACAAGUUAGGUCUCUUUUAUUUUUAUUUAUUUAUUGAUUGCUUUUCCACUGCAGUCUUAACUGGGGCUUUUUUUAGUCCCCACACUUUCCCAAAGCCUUAAAGCCAAUCACAGAGUCUGGAGAGGUGGUUAAUGCUUACCUAAUAAAAUUGCAUUGAGCUCCAUCAGGGCACACAGAAGGCAGACUCACAAGGUCACGAACUGAAGUAAACUCUUACAACUCCAUUUUCUUGUUAUUAUGGUAGGUUUCUUUGGAUCCCGAUAUUUAAAGUAAAAUAUGUAUAUUCAAAUCCAAACCCCCCAACCGCAGAGUAACCCUUCUCUGUCACCUCUCUGUUCAUCAGAACAUGCAGUCCUUUGGAAAUCAUUCACUUACCCCUCAGAUCAAACAUCCUGGAUAAACUCUUGUGCAUCAUACAGCUUACGUCUUCGUAGAUAAAGAGCACACGUCCUGGUUAGAUGAGGAUAAUAAUUGGUAUAAAGGAUCAAUAUCUUUAUUGAUUCUUUAAUACAAUACUUAACACUUUUUAGAUGCAGCACCGGCAUAUGCCUUAAAUCUGAUCUGGCAUUUCUCUGAGAUUUCAGAUGUUUUCACAGGGAAAAUUCAUUAUGCCUGCCAAAGCAGUGUAGGGAGGUAUUUGUAAGUAUCCACAUACAGAACAAAUGCAUCACACAAGGCUUACACACUGUCGAAGCAAUUAUCAGUGUCAGAUUCACGUAGUCACGUGUGAUUGUUAAAGUCCUGGGUGAUGCUGUAGCAUAACACCCACAGAGCUCAUCAGCAUCAGAAGAGCUGCACAGAUGUGAAUGAGAGCAGAAGCUGACCAUUUUGAAUGCAUGCACUGAGUCACCGCAUCACCUCAAAAGCCGAUGUAAUCAUAAUGCACUUCGCCUUUACAUCCAUUUUCUCUCUCCACAGUUCUCAUUACUAUAAAUAACCCUGUUUUGGAAAGUUGAAGCAGAAGUGUGACAAUGGCCACUUUGGAUAAGCCCCAGCACAGACACUCCUCUCCCUGUUAGUGGUUCCAUCAUAGUUCUGCUUAAUGCACCCCUGCACCAGCAUCUUUCUCCUAGGUUACCUGAAGUCGGGACAACAGCUAAAUGCAGCACUGCCCUCCGUGAUUUGGAUCAGUUCUGCCUUUUUCUCUCUGAAUUAAAUGAUAAUAAAACAGAGGACUGAAUGCAGUUGGGCUGGGAGCUCUCAGGCAUCGAGCUGACUUGAAAUGCAGUCUGGCACUGUGGAAGUGUCAGGGCUGGGCAGUACCACGCAGCAGAGCAGAGGCUGCCUUUGGCUGCUUGCAUCAGCUGGAAGGUCUGCAGAAAGCGAGUAGGACAGCGUUACUGGGAGAACGUUUCUUUCUAUGAAAAAGAUGUGCAAAAGGAUUCCAGCAGUGCCUGACUGAUUGCCAUUUCCUAUGUCCAACUGUAAUGUAAAACCUUUUGCUUUUCUCACACUGUAACAGAGCCGCACUGUGUAGCUCCAGCAUUUACAUGACAACUGGUUUAUCUGCUGGAACUUUCAAAACUGUCUCAUGGUAAGAACACUGUUUUGCAGUGGAAAGAUGAUAGCUGAAGGGGCUAGCUACAGCAGAAGGAAUCAUUUCGUGAUCAGCUUGUUAACAUUCCCAUUUACAGAAGAGCCUUGGCUAACAUCCUUGGCGUAACUAGCACUGUAAAACAGCAGACACAUUCAACUUUUAAGCGUACGUGUUUGUAACACUGUGAACUAAAUUAAGGCACGGAGGGGGUGGUGCAUGGCUGCCUACCGCUGCAUAUAUUAAGGCACAGUUUGUUCACGCUGCAGCACUUGCUCACUUCUAAGAGUUCAGGCGUGGUGCACAAAUAUUUACAGCAGGCAAAGCCGAAAUCAUUUCCUGUUAGAAUGAAGGUGGCUGCUGCUUCCCGUUACAAACCCUCAGCACGCUUUCCACAUCGCAGCACAAGGCUGCAGGCCAUUGGAGAGGCUGUCUGUGCACGUCUGCUGCGUUGCAGUGCCCAGCAGAGACGAGGCUGAGGUGUUUGUGAGGAGCUGAGGUGUGGGGGGGAAACUGCAGGUGAAAACCUGAGCACCUGUGGGAUCAGCUGCUCCACUGAGGUUUUCAUGAUUUAAGUCCUAUUAAAUCCCAAUUUUUAGAAGCCUUCAAAAAGCCUUCAUUCAGCUUUGCUCCACAAGGAUCAUCUGUGAAAUUAUUUACAGUGGCCAUGCAUUUAUAUUCUCUCUUUCUACUCUUUCCUUUGCAAAAAGAUGGCAAAAAAACCAAGUAGGCUUCACCUGAUGAUGGCAAGAGCUGAACUCCACCCCAAUUUCUGAGCAACGAUCUCAUGACAUGGCUCUGUUCAUAGGGCUGCCCCUCUGCAGCUCGCGUUGCUUUGACCUGAGCAGUCACAGCUCAACACGUGGGGUUUUUGCUUUCUUAUCAUGGGAUUUUUCCUUUUUUUUUUUAAUUUGCUUUACUACCUUUGAGGAAUGGACGUUUUUCAGCUCUGUAACACAAGCUCUGUACCUCCCAGUGCCCAGUCCAGAAAGGAGUCGGUGUUUCUUUCCUUUUUCUCCAUGCAACAUUACAGGAAUUUGUGAAGCAAACAAGAGGCUCGAAAAAGCCACAAAGCAAGAAUAUUACACAAGCUUACGAUGAGAAGUGAAGCAACUAAAAUUACCAGAGGGGGGAAGUUGAACAUCCCUACUGUGUGAAAUGCAGCCUCGUGUCCACCCUACACCACUAAGACAGAACUGAAAACCUUUCCUGUAUGGGUUUCAGCCACUGCAGCUUAUUAGUUCUGAUAGUUUCACUAUUACAAAGA
ensembl:lncRNA